GUUCACUCAAGCCAAGCAAUGCGGAGGCAAUAAUUUGCACUAGAGAUUGGUUGUUUGGAAAAAAAGGUAUUUAGGAGAAAUACCAACAAAUGACUUAGCCGAGGACUUUUUAAAUGAUGGUGAACCUCAUACGGGAAGCUCCACAACCUAAACAGCCUUGACUUUUGCUACUUCUUGAAAGCAUCAAAGGUUAGGGGGACUUGAGGUUAUCAAAACAUGCUGCGACUAGCCAAGCUGCCAAAGAGUUAUUCUCUUACUAUAUGAUUAUGUUAGCUUUAUUGAGGAUUUGGAACAAAAGUUAUGUAUUUUGUUGGAUUUUUUUGGACUGUGUUGGAUUUUUGCUGUUUAAAAUGGAAC